AUAAUUAUGUCUUUGUUUAUUCAAGUAAUACAACAAAAUAAAUAGAAAUACUUCAUGACAAAAUAUUGAAAUAUCACUGAUUUAUUUAAGGAUUCAAAUGAAGGUUACUCAUCUCUCAAUCAACCAUCAUAAUUAUCUCCACUAUAGAGAAUAGCUCUUCAUCCUUAAUCCCCAACGCAAUUUUGUUCACAUUCUAAAAUAUCUUGAUAUUAGUUUACAAAUUAUGAAAGACACAUAUGAAAAGGAUAUAAACAGUAAAUACAAAAAAAAAAUGUAAUUAAAAAAAUCUAAUCUUCUAAUACACAGCCAAAUGUGAAUGGACCUAGAGUAGAUAUCACUACACAGUCAAUUGUGUUAACAGUAACAUCCUAAACAUCAUGGACUAAACAGUUAAGUCUAUAGUAUAUAAUAAUAGAAAUGACUACUACCCAGUUAACAAUUAGAAUAUAUUGGAAAAUAACAAUUAACUUCGACAAAAUGAUACAUUUAUGUUAAUAAUAUCAUGGUUAAAUAAUGUUUUAAAUGUUCAAUGUCAGCUACAGUAGUGUAUUUAAUCAAUUAUUUUCCUUUCCAUAUGCACAAUCAGUGCAUUGUUGCAACUAAAUUGCAACAAAUUAAACAAUGCAUAAGCCUUUCAAACUUUACUUUGUUUUUUUUAAACUGCAUUUUUAAAAGUCCUUUAACAUGUAGUUCAAUACAGGAAAAAAAAAUACACCAAAUCUUAGUUUAGAAUGAACUAUGUAAUUUAAUUGUGUCAGUUGUAUAUUUUAUGACACUUUGCUUCCUAACAAAAUUGGAUCUGCAACCUGGUUUAAAAUUGUUUUCUUAUGUUAAAAAAAAAAAGGAUAUGAUUUAUUAUUAGAACAAGUGAAACAGGAAUAAUCACAGAUAGGGGAGUAUUUAAGUUUUCUCAUUUUGGAAACAGUUUUACAAAAAAGCUUAGAUAACAUUUCAGACUAUGCACCUUCAUCAACUGAUCUACCAAUAUGUCAUCUUGUUAGAUUGUUGUUAGUGGAUGGCAAAUCAAAUCAAGCCAAACAGAAAGUGUUCAAUGGAGAUAUGAAGGUUAUUUUUUUUUCUUAAAUAUAUUCAAGUCAAAGUGUUAGCUCAAAAUCAUCAAUUAUGGUCAUAGAAUGAAAAACUUUGUAUUUCCAGUAAAAAUGCUCUUUAUCUCUUGAUGGUUAAUGUAAUUCAAUGCUUGACUCAAUUUCCAGCACAAAUUUGUUUAGAGUAUCUAUUUUUAAGAAUUAAAACUAGAUUUUUAAGAUGAGCCCCCCCCCCCCCUUCCC